rnacentral:rRNA from 1 species
AGUGAACGCUGGCGGUAGGCCUAACACAUGCAAGUCGAACGGCAGCACAGGAGAGCUUGCUCUCUGGGUGGCGAGUGGCGGACGGGUGAGGAAUACAUCGGAAUCUGCCUUUUCGUGGGGGAUAACGUAGGGAAACUUACGCUAAUACCGCAUACGACCUUCGGGUGAAAGCAGGGGACCUUCGGGCCUUGCGCGGAUAGAUGAGCCGAUGUCGGAUUAGCUAGUUGGCGGGGUAAAGGCCCACCAAGGCGACGAUCCGUAGCUGGUCUGAGAGGAUGAUCAGCCACACUGGAACUGAGACACGGUCCAGACUCCUACGGGAGGCAGCAGUGGGGAAUAUUGGACAAUGGGCGCAAGCCUGAUCCAGCCAUACCGCGUGGGUGAAGAGGGCCUUCGGGUUGUAAAGCCCUUUUGUUGGGAAAGAAAAGCAGCCGGUUAAUACCUGGUUGUUCUGACGGUACCCAAAGAAUAAGCACCGGCUAACUUCGUGCCAGCCGCCGCCGUAAGAC